GGGCAGCAGUGGGGAAUUUUCCGCAAUGGGCGAAAGCCUGACGGAGCAAGACCGCGUGGGGGAAGAAGGCUCUUGGGUUGUAAACCCCUUUUCUCUGGGAAGAAAGUUGUGAAAGCAACCUGACGGUACCAGAGGAAUCAGCAUCGGCUAACUCCGUGCCAGCAGCCGCGGUAAGACGGAGGAUGCAAGCGUUAUCCGGAAUGAUUGGGCGUAAAGCGUCCGCAGGUGGCAGUUCAAGUCUGCUGUCAAAGACCGGGGCUUAACUUCGGAAAGGCAGUGGAAACUGAACAGCUAGAGUAUGGUAGGGGCAGAGGGAAUUCCUGGUGUAGCGGUGAAAUGCGUAGAGAUCAGGAAGAACAUCGGUGGCGAAGGCGCUCUGCUGGACCAUAACUGACACUCAGGGACGAAAGCUAGGGGAGCGAAUGGGAUUAGAUACCCCAGUAGUCCUAGCCGUAAACGAUGGAUACUAGGUGUUGUCUGUAUCGACCCGGACAGU
rnacentral:rRNA from 1 species